UUUUUCGAUGUAAAAGUUAUAAGAUUAUAAGAGAUACUUUUUUUUGGGAAUUUUUAGAAAUUUUGCUUAAAAUAUUUCGAAAUAGAGAAGCCUCUGCUAUUUGCUUCGAAAUGAAUGCAAAUGAAAUCACUUUUGUUCAACUCGAGAAUUGAAAUUUUCGAAAAUCUUUAAGAACUCUCUCACCGAUACGAUUUAUUUUCUCGAAAACUUUCGAAAAAACUUUUACUUGGAAAUUCUUCGAAACGAUUUUUUAGAUCGAUUUAUCCCGCUCGUUCGAGAGGUUAGAACGCGACUGGGUGGAAAGUGGAAUCAUCAACGAACGAGAGGAUAGGGAACUCGAAUCAGCGUGGCCCUAACGCUGGGAAGAGGAAGAGGGUACAGAUGCGACAGAGGAAAAACAAAGAUGGAGGGGCUAAGUUUAGAGGAUCGCGAGAGAGGACGAAGUGGCGAAGGAGUACGCGGCAUCGAGAACACAAUGCACCUUGCCCUCUUCCUCUUGGACGAAGGGGAGGGAGGAGGGGAGAGGCGCAGGAAGAGAGAAUGAUUUUAGAUUCAGUGCCAGAAAAAUCGUUGGCCAAUCGCGAGGGACGAAUCGAGAUCGCCAUCUCUCGGCCAACUGGGGCCAUCGAGGGAUUUUAAUAGAUCCUUUCUCGGGUUCGGAGAUCGAGACCGAUGAUCGCUCGAGUGUCAUCGAUGGUGGUGAUCUUGGAUUGGAGAGAACUUUCGAAUUUUAUUCAGAGAUCGUUGGAAAUUGAAUUUUUCAAAAUUUAGUUAUUUUUGAUCGCUCGAGUGUCAUCGUUGGUGGUGAUCUUGGAUUGAAUAUUAAUCCUUGACACGCCAUUCGGAACAAAUCAACGAAAUUGAGGUUAAAUCAUCGUCGAGAUUAUGCGCGGGGAAGACACAAAGAUUUCGUCGAAGAAGUUCGCGACUGCAUCGCCAUUCGAAGUUAGGAAGUUUCUUGUCGUCCGAUCUUGGCACCAAUUCGAGGAACGAGGAACAAAUCGACGAAGCUCGAGCGUUAAUUAAAUCGUUGCGCGUUUAAUCCACGAUGAUUUCGAGGGAAGUAGCGAAAACACUUCUGCUCGAAGGAGCCCCACUUCACGCAUCUCUCGCAAUUUAUGCGACACUUUGAAUUGUCGAAUCUUCGUCGACAUAUGUUGGCCAUGUUGGCGUUGAAUAAAUCAAUGAACGCGUUAAACGCGUAUAAAAUAGAAAAGUUAUACGUCUAAUUAUAUAACUCGUGACCUCAAAUAAUGGAAUGGAA